rnacentral:rRNA from 1 species
GAUGAACGCUGGCGGCGUGCCUAAUACAUGCAAGUCGAGCGAACGGACGAGAAGCUUGCUUCUCUGAUGUUAGCGGCGGACGGGUGAGUAACACGUGGAUAACCUACCUAUAAGACUGGGAUAACUUCGGGAAACCGGAGCUAAUACCGGAUAAUAUUUUGAACCGCAUGGUUCAAAAGUGAAAGACGGUCUUGCUGUCACUUAUAGAUGGAUCCGCGCUGCAUUAGCUAGUUGGUAAGGUAACGGCUUACCAAGGCAACGAUGCAUACCCGACCUGAGAGGGUGAUCGGCCACACUUGAACUGAGACACGGUCCAGACUCCUACGGGAGGCAGCAGUAGGGAAUCUUCCGCAAUGGGCGAAAGCCUGACGGAGCAACGCCGCGUGAGUGAUGAAGGUCUUCGGAUCGUAAAACUCUGUUAUUAGGGAAGAACAUAUGUGUAAGUAACUGUGCACAUCUUGACGGUACCUAAUCAGAAAGCCACGGCUAACUACGU